rnacentral:rRNA from 1 species
GAUGAACGCUAGCUACAGGCUUAACACAUGCAAGUCGAGGGGCAGCAUUAUCGAAGCUUGCUUUGAUAGAUGGCGACCGGCGCACGGGUGAGUAACGCGUAUCCAACCUUCCCCAUAGUCAGGAAUAGCCCGGCGAAAGUCGAAUUAAUGCCUGAUGUUUUCCACGGACGGCAUCUGAUGUGGAACAAAGAUUCAUCGCUAUGGGAUGGGGAUGCGUCUGAUUAGCUUGUUGGCGGGGUAACGGCCCACCAAGGCAACGAUCAGUAGGGGUUCUGAGAGGAAGGUCCCCCCACAUUGGAACUGAGACACGGUCCAAAACUCCUACGGGAGGCAGCAGUGAGGAAUAUUGGGUCAAUGGGGCGAGAGCCUGAACCAGCCAAGUAGCGUGCAGGACGACGGCCCUAUGGGUUGUAAACUGCUUUUAUAAGGGAAUAAAGUGAGUCUCGUGAGGCUUUUUGCAUGUACCUUAUGAAUAAGGACCGGCUAAUUCCGUGCCAG